rnacentral:rRNA from 1 species
UAAGAGGUCUUGCCUGCCCUGUGACUUUAUCGUUUAACGGCCGCGGUAUUUUGACCGUGCGAAGGUAGCGCAAUCACUUGUCUCUUAAAUGGGGACCUGUAUGAAUGGCACAACGAGGGUUUAACUGUCUCCUUUCCCAAGUUAAUGAAAUUGAUCUCCCCGUGCAGAAGCGGGGAUACAGACAUAAGACGAGAAGACCCUAUGGAGCUUUAGGCGACAAGCAGACCGUACCAAACAACCCUGAUAAAGGAAUAAAACAUGCGUAAACCUGCCCUAAUGCCUUUGGUUGGGGCGACCGCGGGGAAACAAAAAACCCCCAUGUGGAAUGGGACUAACCGUCCUCCAAAAAAGAGCCCCCGCUCUAAAAAACAGAACAUCUGACCUUAAGAUCCGGCAAAGCCGAUCAACGAACCGAGUUACCCUAGGGAUAACAGCGCAAUCCUCUUUCAGAGCUCAUAUCGACAAGAGGGUUUACGACCUCGAUGUUGGAUCAGGAUAUCCUAAUGGUGUAGCAGCUAUUAAGGG